GACGAACGCUGGCGGCGUGCUUAACACAUGCAAGUCGAGCGGAAAGGCCCUUCGGGGUACUCGAGCGGCGAACGGGUGAGUAACACGUGAGUAACCUGCCCUGGACUUUGGGAUAACCCUCGGAAACGAGGGCUAAUACCGAAUACGACUUUUCCUCGCAUGAGGUUUGGUUGGAAAGUUUUUCGGUUCUGGGAUGGGCUCGCGGCCUAUCAGCUUGUUGGUGGGGUGAUGGCCUACCAAGGCGACGACGGGUAGCCGGCCUGAGAGGGCGACCGGCCACACUGGGACUGAGACACGGCCCAGACUCCUACGGGAGGCAGCAGUGGGGAAUAUUGCACAAUGGGCGGAAGCCUGAUGCAGCAACGCCGCGUGAGGGAUGACGGCC
rnacentral:rRNA from 1 species